CCUACGGGUGGCUGCAGUGGGGAAUAUUGCGCAAUGGGCGAAAGCCUGACGCAGCGACGCCGCGUGAGGGAUGAAGGUCUUCGGAUCGUAAACCUCUUUCAGCAGGGAAGAACCGUCACUGUGCUAAUCAGCAGUGAAUUGACGGUACCUGCAAAGGAAGCACCGGCUAACUCCGUGCCAGCAGCCGCGGUAAUACGGAGGGUGCGAGCGUUGAUCGGAAUUACUGGGCGUAAAGCGCUCGUAGGCGGGAUGUCAAGUCAAGGGUGAAAUCCCCGAGCUCAACGUGGGAACUGCAUUUGAAACUGGCAAACUGGAGUGUGUGAGAGGCUAGUGGAAUUCCGGGUGUAGGGGUGAAAUGCGUAGAUAUAUGGAGGAACAUCAGUGGCGAAGGCGAAUAGCUGGAACAUAACUGACGCUGAGGAGCGAAAGCGUGGGGAGCAAACAGGAUUAGAUACCCCAGUAGUC
rnacentral:rRNA from 1 species